rnacentral:lncRNA from 1 species
GUGCGCCUUGCAGAAAUAAGUGUCUUGCUCCGCAAACACCGGUACUCGUAGCCGAAACGAGAACGCUGGGUUCUCUGACGAACAUAGGACCUAGUGGGGAGAAAUAAAGUAUAAAUCAGCUGUAAAUCCUAACAUGCCGCAUGGAGAAAGAAAUGAUAGGAAACUAAUGACUUAUCGUUACAUUUUGGAUAGGAAGGAGCUGCUUGGGCGUCGUCGGGAUGAGGUACAAGUUCCGGAUCGAAAAAGGCCAAGAUUGCGGCGGCUCCGUCGGGCACAUGAUCGGCAAAUGAAAAUAAAAACAGGGGAACGUCCGAGGACGAUACUCGAGUGUCCGACUCUGACGGAAAACUUAUCGUAGUCUGCACUCUCACAUCAUCCAUUUGUAUUUCAAACGAAAUCGUAGUAGAAAAAUGAAAUAUAUAAAAAAACGAGCAGCGAUAGAAAACUGUACGGACCGUAUGAACGUUGGUCAAAGAAUAAAUGUAGAACCCUGACUAGGAAAGUCCAUUAUCAAAAAACAAAGAAAGAGGGGGUUAUCGUUAAACAAUAAACUUGACACCACAUGACCAGUGGCGUCUUAAGCAGGGGUGCAAGGGGUGCACGGCAUCUGGGCGCAGAAUCUAAAGGGCUGCAGCUAAGCCUUUGUUCUGUUACAUUGUUUUUCUGGCCCAA